rnacentral:lncRNA from 1 species
CGCACACCGAAACCGAAGUUUCCAAGACCAAAGUUUCCAGUACAGUAGUUCUUUCAAAACACACUCAGACCAGAUUCAAAUUGCAGCAAUUCUUGCUACUCGAUGUUUAUGUGUUGUGCCCACCUUUAUCCCAGCACUCAGAAGGCAGAGUCAGGAGGAUCCUGAGUUCAAGACCAGUCUGGUCUACACAGAGAGUUUCAGGACAGUCAGAG